rnacentral:tRNA from 1 species
GGUCCUGUGGUGUAGCGGUUAACACUCGACUCUGAAUCAUGCGACGGGAGUUCAAAUCUCUCCGGCAUGA